GCAAAACAUGCAUCCUAUUUUUUAUAAAUAGUUUCAACUAUGCCAAAGGUUUUCGAUAAAUCUCUUGUGGUGUUUGUUCUGGUGACGUAUCCCUGGUUUAAUUUUACAAUGCAAAACGUUCUUGUAAAUUUGUUUGUGCUUGUGUAACUUAAUGAGAUACUGUAAGAUAUUUUCCAGACACAUUCCUUCCUCAUUUACCUGCAGGUUUAGAUUAAACCUUAGUUUUAGGAAUCUGCCGACAGCUAAUAUACGAAAGCGAAAUUUUCUACUGUGUAUUAAUUUUUGUGUGGUUGCAACAUCACUUUAUUUCUAAAACAAAUAUUAUUUGUUUGAAAUAAUUUUGUUGUGAAAACUGGUUAUGAUUUUAUUGUGUCUUAUGCAUGAUAAUUUCUGUUCUUUUACUGUAAGUUAUGGUUUGUUUUCACAUAUGUGUAGGCAACUUCGGUUCCGUAAACCGUUGAUAUAUUUAUCAUACAACCCUCAUCUAUCUAGAUUAACAGUGUUCAGGGUCAUGCAUGAAUUCUUCCAGUGCAUAUGUGUGUGAUAUUAGUGUGACAUCAAGGUUUCUGAUAUUACUUUCCUGUUUUCCUAGCUCAAAAGACACGUUGGACACAUUCAAUUUCUGAAACAAGUGUCAAGUUCUUAUGUGCAUUUUAUUCUUGUUUUAUGAUAUGUGAUUGGUUUGUUAGUCUAUUUAGUGUGUCAUUUUAGUUUUUAAUUUGUAAAGUUUUGCUUGUCUUCAAAUGCCAUAUUCACUACCCAGUUUUCAAUACAAUAUUGAUGGCACAUAUAGUGUAUAGAUGAGAAAUAAUUGGGUAUUGUAAAACAAAUUGUUUCGAUUUUCAAAAUCGUUAAUAAUCACAGAAACGGGACGCUGUUGCUGUCGACAAGGGGCUCAGUGGACUGAGGGCAGAUCUCAGUUGGUAAUCCUGUGAGAGGGAAGAAAGUUGUUAGGUUCAAGGGUUUUGAUGCCAUCAAGAAAAUCAAUGCUUGUACCGCAAGAGCUGAAUUAUCAGGUCCAUUCUUCCAUAGCAAUACAUGAUUCAAGUCCACAUUUUCUAUAUUUAAAAAAAACCGACCUAGACAAUUAAUUCAGAUGGAUGUUUUUUAACACCCCUUUUUUAAAUUAAGAGUUUUGUUUGGAUAUGAUAUAUAGAUUCUUGCAAAAGCUGUGUAUGUGAUUUCUAUUAUUGAAAUAAAAUAUUUCCUAUUCUUA